ACGGAUCAAGGGAAGAAAAUCUCUUUCUGAAAUUACUUUGCCAAGCUCCUCUCUCCCAAACUCUUAUAUCUUUACAAACUUCAAUUUCUUUGUAAUAGAUAGGAUUAUUUCAAGAAAAGAUCAAGCUUUGAAGUAAUAUGUUGAACCACCUUUGGGACCACGGCCUUACACUCUCUACUAUCGCUGAACAAUUACUAGAUUGAUCAAAUAUAACACCAAACUAAGUUUUGAAGGACACGGAUGAUACGAACGGCACCAACCUUGUGAUGCAACCCAUACAGACAGGAAAGGAUCUAGAAGGUAGGAUUCACGUUAAUGAACACGAAUGCAGCGGAAUCACCUAAACCCGCUGAUCACGUGGUCAACGAACCUCGGCAUUGGUAGAAGACGCCACAAUCUAGUGCAGUUUUAGAUUGAUAAAUCGAAUUGAAUACCUAAGAACGAUUCUAAGAUAUUCAAUGGUGCUUCAAUGAAGUUUUGAGAAAACUCUCAAGUGUAUUUUUAUUAAUCAUCAAAAACUCCCCCAUGAA